rnacentral:rRNA from 1 species
CCUACGGGUGGCAGCAGUGAGGAAUCUUGGUCACUGGACGAGAGUCUGAACCAGCCAAGUAGCGUGAAGGUUGACCGCCCUAUGGGUUGUAAACUUCUUCUAUGAAAGAAUAACACGACGCACGUGUGCCUUUUUGCAUGUACUUUAUGAAUAAGGAUCGGCUAACUCCGUGCCAGCAGCCGCGGUAAUCCGGAGGAACCGAGCGUUGUCCGGAUUCAUUGGGUUUAAAGGGAGCGUAGAUGGGUUGUUAAGUCAGUUGUGAAAGUUUGCGGCUCAACCGUAAAAUUGCAAUUGAUACUGGCAGGAUUGAGUACAGUUGAGGUAGGCGGAAUGCGUGGUGUAGCGGUGAAAUGCUUAGAUAUCACGAAGAACCCCGAUUGCGAAGGCAGCUUACUAAACUGUGACUGACAUUGAUGCUCGAAAGUGUGGGUAUCAAACAGGAUUAGAUACCCCUGUAGUC